rnacentral:lncRNA from 10 species
CCCUGUCGGAAGAAAAAUGAGAGCUCUGAAGGCUUUGAAGCUGGAGAAUGACAUGAUCCAGGCAAUGGAUUAACUUGGUGGCAUCUUAGCAGUUGGGAAGAGGAGAUGCCAAUGGGUGUGGUCUGCAGAGGGUCACAGAGCAGAGACAGUUCCUGAAGAGAUGAUUUCUGGACAAUAAAGGGGUCCCAGGGGGCGGAAGUUGCAUAGCACCUGAUCAUAGUGUGCCCUGACGCUGGGAGACCGCUGCGUGCCCACCGACUGUCCACACACCUGAUCGCGGUGCGCCCUGACGCUGGGAGACCGCUGCGUGCCUGCAACUGUCCACACACCUGAUCGCGGUGCGCCCUGCUGCUGCAGGACCGCUUCGUGCCUGCGACUGUCCACACACCUGAUCGCGGUGUGCCCUGAUGCUGGGAGACCGCUGCGUGCCUGCAACUGUCCACACACCUGAUCGCGGUGCGCCCUGCUGCUGCAGGACCGCUGCGUGCCUGCGACUGUCCACACACCUGAUCGCGGUGUGCCCUGAUGUUGGGAGACCGCUGCGUGCCUGCGACUGUCCACACGCCUGAUCGAUGCCACAGCGCACGGCGAGCUGGCUUCCCCUUGAAGGAACUCU